rnacentral:rRNA from 1 species
GCCGGACCUGACUGCUAUCGGAUUGAUACUAAGCCAUGCGAGUCAUUGUAGUAAUACAAGGCAGACGGCUCAGUAACGCGUAGUCGACCUAACCUAUGGACGGGAAUAACCUCGGGAAACUGAGUAUAAUGCCCGAUAGAACAUUAUGCCUGGAAUGGUUUAUGUUCCAAAUGAUUUAUCGCCGUAGGAUGGGACUGCGGCCUAUCAGUUUGUUGGUGAGGUAAUGGCCCACCAAGACUAUUACAGGUACGGGCUCUGAGAGGAGUGGCCCGGAGAUGGGUACUGAGACACGGACCCAGGCCCUAUGGGGCGCAGCAGGCGAGAAAACUUUGCAAUGUGCGAAAGCACGACAAGGUUAAUCCGAGUGGUUUCUGCUAAAGGAACCUUUUGUCGGUCCUAGAAACACCGAUGAAUAAGGGGUGGGCAAGUUCUGGUGUCAGCCGCCGCGGUAAAACCAGCACCUCAAGUGGUCAGGAUGAUUAUUGGGCCUAAAGCAUCCGUAGCCGGCUUUGUUAGUUUUCGGUUAAAUCUGUACGCUUAACGUACAGGCUGCCGGGAAUACUGCAGAGCUAGGGAGUGGGAGAGGUAGACGGUACUCGGUAGGAAGGGGUAAAAUCCUUUGAUCUAUUGAUGACCACCUGUGGCGAAGGCGGUCUACCAGAACACGUCCGACGGUGAGGGAUGAAAGCUGGGGGAGCAAACCGGAUUAGAUACCCGGGUAGUCCCAGCUGUAAACUAUGCAAACUCAGUGAUGCAUUGGCUUGUGGCCAAUGCAGUGCUGCAGGGAAGCCGUUAAGUUUGCCGCCUGGGAAGUACGUACGCAAGUAUGAAACUUAAAGGAAUUGGCGGGGGAGCACCACAAGGGGUGAAGCCUGCGGUUCAAUUGGAUUCAACGCCGGGAAGGGGGAAUUC